rnacentral:rRNA from 1 species
GUGGGGAAUAUUGGACAAUGGGGGGAACCCUGAUCCAGCCAUGCCGCGUGUGUGAAGAAGGCCUUUUGGUUGUAAAGCACUUUAAGCGAGGAGGAGGCUACCGAGAUUAAUACUCUUGGGUAGUGGACGUUACUCGCAGAAUAAGCACCGGCUAACUCUGUGCCAGCAGCCGCGGUAAUACAGAGGGUGCAAGCGUUAAUCGGAUUUACUGGGCGUAAAGCGCGCGUAGGUGGCCAAUUAAGUCAAAUGUGAAAUCCCCGAGCUUAACUUGGGAAUUGCAUUCGAUACUGGUUGGCUAGAGUAUGGGAGAGGAUGGUAGAAUUCCAGGUGUAGCGGUGAAAUGCGUAGAGAUCUGGAGGAAUACCGAUGGCGAAGGCAGCCAUCUGGCCUAAUACUGACACUGAGGUGCGAAAGCAUGGGGAGCAAACAGGAUUAGAUACCCGUGUAGUCC